UGUUUUUUUUAUUAUGAACUUCUCAAUACCUUAAAUAAUAAGUUAUUUUAAGAGGGGAAACAUAAACCAAAUGCAAUUACUAGGAAAUUAUUCUCGAAAUACUUAAACCCUAUUAGUUAUGAGUAGUUAAGUAGCUAGAUUAAAAUCUAAAAAAUAAUGGAUUGCAUCUCACAAGAAAAUAGUGGGAACAAUGAUUACUAGUAUAUGGUAGAUAUCUUCACACUUAAUAUGACACUAUCACAAUUAAGGUAACACAUAAGCAGUGGCGGACUGGGCCUUGUGCCUGGUGGGUCAAAUGACUCACCAGGGCCCAAAAAAAAUUUUAAGUUUUUUUUAAAAAAAAUAAAAAAUAAAAAAAAAUCUAACUUCAGGUCCCGACACUUCCUCAAGCCCUAGCCCACUGCCUCCUCAGCUGCUCUUCCCUCUUCGCCUCUUGACUUCCUCUUCGCUUCAUCUUCACCAGACUGCCUCCACCUAGCCACCCUCCAGUCGCCUGCUCUGCCUCUGCUGCUUGCCUGCUCCGUCUCCGUGGUCACUGCUCUUCGCCUCUUCGCAAUCGCUUCGACGCAAUUGCUAAUUCACUAUUAACGCUUCCUCUUCGCUCAUCGGCUCAAGCCUCGUCGCCUCCAGUGCUGGCCCUGCUGCUCCGCCUACUCGCCUCAAUCAGCGUCUGCCGUCUGGCAAGGUAAUCAUCAAUUUAUUCUUUUUUUUUUUUGUGAAUUUCUGAUCAAAUUUGCAUUACUUGUUGCUUAAAAUUAGUAUAUACGAUGAAUGUUCAUUGAAUUUGCAUUAUUUGUGUUUUGACUGUUAAAUUGAACUUAUUAGUUUAUGUGAUGCCGGACAUUGUAUAAGACAGCUAUUAGUGUAAGGAGGAUUAUAAAUUUAUAAUUAGAUUACAGUGUGGACUGGUUAGUGGUGCUAGUCGCAUAUUCGGCUGGAAGUUCCGUAUAGACUAGGCGGAUUCAGGAAUUGUAAAACAUUGUGUCUGAAUUGUGGUUACAUAAACCUUAAAUCAUUCUUAA